UAGGCUUGACAUCCCAAGGCAUCCUUUAGAGAUAGAGGAGUGCUAGUUUACUAGAGCUUGGAGAC
rnacentral:rRNA from 1 species